rnacentral:rRNA from 1 species
AUGGAGGAGCACCGCACCCUGAUGGGUGCGGUUAUGGAAAAGGUCCAGUCCGCGAAGAGUGGACUAAACGAAGCCUUCAACAACCUACUGACGGGCUUUGAGACAUCUAUGUUGGCGGCUACUGCCCAAGCCGCAGAGGUUUCCGAGGUCAGUCGGAAGCUUCGGCUAGCUGAUGAGGAGCUCGACUGCAUCAACAAGAGGUUUGAUGAAACGAAAGUUGGUGCAGCUGAGGUCAAGUCCCUCAGGAGUGCCCUCGCCCAAGCCACAAAAGAGGUGGAGGUGAGCAAGGCGGCCACUGACAAAGCGGCCAAGGAGUUGGAGGUCGAGAAAACCGUCCGUGAACAACAUGAGGCAGGUGGGCGAGGUCGAACAGGAGCUCAAGGACGCCAUUGCCAAGUGCGCUUCCUUGGAGCAGAAGAGUUCGAAACAAGCCCCCGAGCUCACCAAAGCUCUUGA